GAGUUCAAGUAAUUGCACUCAGGCACUGUCUCAGUCGCCUACACCGGGUCCUUCGUUCCUCCCGUAGUGUCCACGUGGAGAUCAUACGCUCUUAAAGAGGUACAGUUGGGUACCUUGUACAGCACAUGGGUAACAGCAGGAGCUGGUGUGCUAUGUCACAUGUCGACAUCACGAGGACAAGGAGCAAGCAUCAUGUGCUUUUGAACUCCAGGUGAGCAGAUCGGCGGUAGAAACUCAGGGCUGCAACAGCAACGUGGGCAGAGUUACAUUCCGCCUGGGUCUAUAUUCACAGAAGAGUGACUGUAAAUUACCCAGCAUUCAAGGACUAGUGGUGUGGGAGGUGAGUUUUACUAACAGUGACUAACUAGAUUUUUGACUUGAUUCAUAUUUUGCUGCUCUAUAAUGAUUUGUAUGGUAUAAUAUGUUAUGUACAUAAAUUUGAGUUCAGUAAGGGCUGGCCGCUGUUUUAUAACUUAUAAUUUUCCACAUUCAUAUGUUCAUGCUGUGUCCAAGUGUUUCUGUGGCUUAACAUUUCUUCUUGUUUUGUUCCAGAUGCGGUUUUCUAUAUGUGUGAAUCUGCAUGACAUACUUUUAUAAUUAAAACCUUCUGUUUAACUGU